GGCGGACGGGUGGAGUAACGACGUGAGCAAUCUGCCUCCGGUUGCGGGACGAACACAGGGAAACUUGUGCUAAUACCGCAUAAACCGGCAGCACCGCAUGGUGCAACCGGCAAAGAAUUUCGACCGGAGAUGAGCUCGCGUCCGAUUAGAUAGUUGGCGGGGCAACGGCCCACCAAGUCUGCGAUCGGUAGCCGGACUGAGAGGUUGAACGGCCACAUUGGAACUGAGAUACGGUCCAGACUCCUACGGGAGGCAGCAGUGGGGAAUAUUGGGCAAUGGGCGAAAGCCUGACCCAAGCGACGCCGCGUGAAGGAAGAAGGUCUUCGGAUUGUAAACUUCAGUCAACAGGGAAGAUCAUGACGGUACCUGUGGAGGAAGCCACGGCUAACUACGUGCCAGCAGCAGC
rnacentral:rRNA from 1 species